rnacentral:rRNA from 1 species
UACGGAGGGUCCGAGCGUUAAUCGGAAUUACUGGGCGUAAAGCGCGCGUAGGUGGUUUGAUAAGUCGGAUGUGAAAGCCCUGGGCUCAACCUGGGAACUGCAUCCGAUACUGUCAGACUAGAGUAUGGUAGAGGGUAGUGGAAUUUCUGGUGUAGCGGUGAAAUGCGUAGAUAUCAGAAGGAACAUCAGUGGCGAAGGCGGCUACCUGGACCAAUACUGACACUGAGGUGCGAAAGCGUGGGGAGCAAACAGGAUUAGAUACCCCGGUAGUCC